GAUGAACGCUGGCGGCGUGCUUAACACAUGCAAGUCGAACGGUGAAAGAGAGCUUGCUCUCUGGAUCAGUGGCGAACGGGUGAGUAACACGUGAGCAAUCUGCCCCUGACUCUGGGAUAAGCGCUGGAAACGGCGUCUAAUACCGGAUACGAGCUGCGAAGGCAUCUUCAGCAGCUGGAAAGAACUUCGGUCAGGGAUGAGCUCGCGGCCUAUCAGCUAGUUGGUGAGGUAAUGGCUCACCAAGGCGUCGACGGGUAGCCGGCCUGAGAGGGUGACCGGCCACACUGGGACUGAGACACGGCCCAGACUCCUACGGGAGGCAGCAGUGGGGAAUAUUGCACAAUGGGCGCAAGCCUGAUGCAGCAACGCCGCGUGAGGGACGACGGCCUUCGGGUUGUAAACCUCAUUUAGCAGGGAAGAAGCGAAAGUGACGGUACCUGCAGAAAAAGCACCGGCUAACUACGUGCCAGCCGCCGCCGUAAAAC
rnacentral:rRNA from 1 species